CAUCUACUCCUUCCAUCCAGAAAUACUUAUCAUCAAAAUGAAUAAAAGGGGAUGUAUCUAGAUGUAUUUUAGUUCUAGAUACAUCCCUUUUUGUCCAUUUUGAUGGCAAAUAUUUUCGGACGAAGGGAGUAUAUA
rfam:Triticum aestivum genome assembly, contig: Triticum_aestivum_CS42_TGACv1_scaffold_434188_5DL